rnacentral:rRNA from 1 species
GACGAACGCUGGCGGCGUGCUUAACACAUGCAAGUCGAACGGUGAAGCGCCUUCCUUUUUGGUGGGUGUGGAUGAGUGGCGAACGGGUGAGUAACACGUGAGUAACCUGCCCCCUUCUUCUGGAUAACCGCAUGAAAGUGUGGCUAAUACGGGAUAUUCUGGGUCUGUCGCAUGAUGGGUCUGGGAAAGAUAUUGUUUCGGUGGGGGAUGGGCUCGCGGCCCAUCAGCUUGUUGGUGGGGUGAUGGCCUACCAAGGCGGUGACGGGUAGCCGGCCUGAGAGGGUGGACGGUCACACUGGGACUGAGACACGGCCCAGACUCCUACGGGAGGCAGCAGUGGGGAAUAUUGCACAAUGGGCGCAGGCCUGAUGCAGCGACGCCGCGUGAGGGAUGGAGGCCUUCGGGUUGUGAACCUCUUUCGCCAGUGAAGCAGGCCUGCCUCGUUUGUGGGUGGGUUGACGGUAGCUUGAUAAGAAGCGCCGGCUAACUACGUG